rnacentral:rRNA from 1 species
UUACCAAAAACAUCACCUCCAGCAUUUCUAGUAUUGGAGGCACUGCCUGCCCAGUGACGCUCGUUUAACGGCCGCGGUAUCCUGACCGUGCAAAGGUAGCAUAAUCAUUUGUUCCCUAAAUAGGGACUUGUAUGAAUGGCUACACGAGGGUUUAACUGUCUCUUACUCCCAAUCAGUGAAAUUGACCUUCCCGUGAAGAGGCGGGAAUAUUAUAAUAAGACGAGAAGACCC